UGACAUGGAUGGGGAGACUGAGACCAAGAUUGGCUACAUAACUUUUGGGGGUUGUGCAAAAUGAAAACUGGAGGCAUCUAUUUCAAAAACUAUGAAGAAUUUCAAGAUGGUAACAGUAGAGCAUUAUACCAAGCAUGGGGCCCGUCUAGGCAUGGGGCCUUGUGCUCAGGUGGCACACCUGUGAGUGGUACAUCAGAGAUAGGCCCUUGAUCCAAGAGAAUCUAGCAAAACUCAAUACCUGAACUUUCACUGAAAAUAUUGAGAUUGCUAGCUGUAAGAAUGACGGAAGCCUGGAGCUUCCUGGAGUCCCUUCAGGGAGUAAGGAAGGCUUGCCUCAGAAUGAAGCCAGCAGAAGGAAGCAGAGAAAAAAAAAAAAAAGCCCUAGGAUAGAUAUUGUUGGAAUCCUGGAU
rnacentral:lncRNA from 1 species